rnacentral:rRNA from 1 species
ACCAGACUCCUACGGGAGGCAGCAGUGGGGAAUAUUGGGCAAUGGGCGCAAGCCUGACCCAGCAACGCCGCGUGAAGGAAGAAGGCUUUCGGGUUGUAAACUUCUUUUGUCAGGGACGAAGCAAGUGACGGUACCUGACGAAGAAGCCCCGGCUAACUACGUGCCAGCAGCCGCGGUAAUACGUAGGGGGCAAGCGUUAUCCGGAUUUACUGGGUGUAAAGGGGGCGCAGACGGCGAUGCAAGCCAGGAGUGAAAGCCCGGGGCCCAACCCCGGGACUGCUCUUGGAACUGCGUGGCUGGAGUGCAGGAGGGGCAGGCGGAAUUCCUGGUGUAGCGGUGAAAUGCGUAGAUAUCAGGAGGAACACCGGUGGCGAAGGCGGCCUGCUGGACUGCAACUGACGUUGAGGCCCGAAAGCGUGGGGAGCAAACAGGAUUAGAUACCCUAGUAC